rnacentral:lncRNA from 1 species
UAAACCCAAGGGGAAUACUCAUGCAACACUUAGGGUCUAAUUCAACUUUUUGGACCCUUGCUUCAACAACCAACAACUUAGAGCUCAUUUUAUGCUCUUUCAACUCCUUUUCAUACUUUUCACAUUUUUUUCUUUUUUUUCUUUCUUUUUCUACGAAUUUUCUCUCUUUUUUUUCUCUUUUUCUAACCCGUGCCCUCCUUACUUCUUUUGGCACACAAACUUUCCCUUCCCCCACACUUAGUUUUCUGCACAACAUUGAUCAAAAGGAAUUCCCUCUAAGUAAUGCUUUAUUAUCC